rnacentral:lncRNA from 1 species
CUUCAAUUUUUCUGCCCUAAAAACUCCCAUAGAAAACUCUUUUCCUUCAUUUUUAUUUUCAGCUUUAGCCUUUAAAUUCAAAUAAAAAAAUCCAAAAAAAAAAAACACAGUAGAAAUCUCUAGAAAAACUAGAAAAUGAAGAAAUUACUGUUUCACUUAAGUUUUUCAAUUCAUCUUCAAAUGAGUUGAUAUUUCAAAGAAUUGCUGGUUGGUAUUAAACAAGUUCGGGUCUCUUUAAGUAAGUUUGGGUCAUUCUGUGUGUUUUUCGAGUUGACUUGGUGUUAUUUCAGGAUAUUUGAGAAGCCAAUUUUGAUUUUAAAGUGCUUUGGUUUUUGUUGUGUUGAGGAUUUAAUUGUUGGCUUUCUAAAGUACUCUUGAAUCUGUUGGCUGCUGCUCAUUCUUGUUGCUGACCUCCUUUUCUUCUCAUUGAAUUUUUGUAUCCAGGUACACAUCUUGAGGCUUUGUUGAUGUGGAUUCAACUUUGAAAUUGAAAUGAGAAUGGGACUAUUCGUUUAUUGUGGAGUGAAAUUUCUGGUUAUGUUUAAUUGAAUUUUCGUUGAGAUUUAGUAGUGGUUUGAUUCAGUUAACUUGUUGCUUUUAUUGAAUAUGGACUGUACCUAGGACUUAUGAAAGUUAUUUGGACUGUUUAGGAUUUUGGACAGUGGUAAUCCUUUAGCUGUGGUUCGAUGUUGUGUCCAAUUGGACAGUCCUUAAGCAGGCCUCACAUGAGAGGCCCACCUGCUGAAGCUAAAGCACACGUAGAGGCUAGAACGUCUAGUUUCGAUCGCCAUUUAGUCCCAAAUAAGGCCCAAUUAAAUUAUGCUAUCAAGGAUUCGAUCCC